GGCUGCCCGCGCUCCCUCCCUCCUUCCCUCCCUCCGUCCUCGCCUUCCCGCCCGGCCCCAACUUCGGCAGGUACCUUGGCAGGCUCCCGGUUAAGGACUGCGCGCAAAGGUAUAGAGGAUUGAAGUUUGCGCCGCCGCCGCCGCCGGUCGCGGCGCUUCGCAGUGGCGGCAGCCGGGCUCGGCUCCCGGCGCGCUCUCCUGACCGCCGCUUCCCUAACCUUUGGAACUGCUCGGCGCCGGGGAAAAACAAAUAAUAAUAACGCCAAGCGCAGCCUGCCGAAGCCUCCGGGUUCAAAGUGUUUCUGCCCCUACCAGUGAAAGCAGGCUCAGGCUUUUUCUGGCCAGAAAAAAAAAAAAAACCAACACUGGAAAGACAAUAAUUUCUUAGAAUGCAGCCCAACUCUUACAAAAUCUUUUGUGACUGGAGCCCUAACAUGAUGCAGAUGGCAGUCUUUUAGAUCAAAACAAAUCAGUGUACACCCUCAAAAUGCAGUAAUACCAUUCACAAAUGCCCUCUCCAAAUCUGUUUCACAGUAUUUCACCAAGUAAAUACAGCAACAAAACCAAAUUCCAAAAUAUAUAGGUUCAAUAGACAUGUUUGUGUAUCUUUACAGCAGAGAGAUUCCAGUGUUAUGUAUUUAACCUUAUGUGAAGACCGGGCCUGCUUCCUAGAAAUGUGGUAUAAAUACAUUUAAGUUUAGGAACUGGAACCACCACAGCAAAACUACAGCUCAGACUACUGUAUAAAAGCAGGGAAUAAAAGCUUAAUUACCAGUAGCAUUAUGCUGUCUAUAUUGUUAAAUGUGAACUCUGUAAUCAAGAUGUAGAUUUGCUUGUGAGCACGGGAUUAAAAUGCUCUGAAAUGUAGAGUAAAAUUUAAGUACUCUGUAGAAACAUCAGAGACAAAAAAAAAAAAAUCUAUUUUUAACAAAUUUUAAAAUGAGAGGUACUAAUCCACGGUACUGUAUUAGAAUAUCUUCUUUAAGUAACAAUUUGAUAAACAUAGAUUUUGGGAUCAAAUCAGAACUUCAAUAUGAUGUCUUUAUGUAUAGUUAUCUAUGUCUAUAUGAACCCAAAAUACAGGUCCUACAGACUGAUUUACAUGUGCACAUGAGCAAAACAUGAAAAUGCAAAUAUACUGUUUGUACUGAGUAUCUCUCCAAGUGUCUGUUUAUAGAUUUAUACCCAAAAUGGCUCUUUUUCAAUAUUUUUUUAUUCCAAAAUGCUUUCAAAUCUUUGCAUAUCUAUGUGUUCUCUUAUAUAAAAAUCAUCCAUAAUGAAUACCUAUACAUGUGUAAUUUGAUAUGGUCACUUUUCUGUAUUAAAUUCCCUGGAAUACACCCUCCUUAAAAUAUGACAGCUAAUCCAUUUUGAAACUUACCAAAAGACAGGUUAGCUUCGUUUCUGCUUUUGUUCAUUAUCUCCUAAUAUUUUAUAUUCAGGUCUGAAACUCGAUGGUCUCUCCUUCUGUCCUGAUCUGUCUUCCUCUAAGCCCUCCUUUUCAUGUUCACAUGGCUCCCACUACCUUGUUAGCUUGUCAUCCCCCCCCCCCCUUUACACCCCCAAAUAAUAUGUUUUUCCUCUCCCCCUGUGAGCCAUCACUACUUUUCUAUCAACCAUCUUUCAUCCAAGCAAGCAGCUCUCUUCCCUGCCAGUGCUGCUUCUUGGAGAACCAGAAAUACUGUGCUGUACUUUGCAUGUUGAUAAACAAAGCAGUUGGCUUCUUCCCCCCGGGGACUGAAAGUGUCACCUCCACCAGACUGGGGCCUGGAAUUCCAACUACAUUCUUGAACUUGGGUUUCACAGUUACCGAUCAGUUUGGGGAAGGGGAAAAGAAAAAAAGUAAAGAGAUUACAGCAGCAAGUAAACUGGGGCUAAGUGUACCUUCAUUUUCUCAAGCUGUUCUGUAGAAAUAAAUAAAAAUAGUACUAUGGAGGGGGAGGGGGGGGAAGCUCAAGCUUACUGUUUACUGAAUUUUAUCAGGGAAUACAGAAUAAGAACAUGCAUGCAAACACACAUCUGCACUAACUUAUCAAACUGUACAGUGCAAAAUCUUACCACAAGGAGUCUAUACAAAACAGUGGUAAUGGAAUCAGAGAGGGGAAGGAAAAAAUCAUCAGGAGUGCCUGUACCAGUCAAGGGGCAUUACUAAGCAGCACCUACAUUUCCAUAUCUCUCUGUGCAUGUUAUUUUUCAUGUGUGCCAAACAGCAAAUCUUUAAGCUUCUUCACAUUUAAAUACUAUAGACAUUUCAAGACAUCUGAAUAGCCAGAUUCUUAAAGCACAACUACCUCAAGGCAACUGAAGAAGUAAGGUUCAGUGGCACUUUGAAGAAGCCGCACAGUGCAUUGUGUCAAAUGUGUAUUUACCAAAAGGAGCAACAAGCUCAAGCCAUCAGGGAAAGAGCAAGAUUAUGAAAGUGUGUUAGCUGCUGAGAAUUGAUUUGGGAAGAAGUGUACUGUUAACUUUAGAUAGAAAUUUGCAAUACACCAUGGAACCUUAUUCAAAGUCCAUCUGGAAAACACCUUAUUGUUAAAAGUGUGAAAUAAAUGCCGAAGUGUCAUCAA